GAAGGCAAACAAACAAAAUCCGCAGUUAUUUUUGCUUAGCAUCGUUGCGGCAUACUUCAAGCCAAACAAAAAUUACAGCUAUUAUUCGCAAUGACGAAUAACAUUUGCUCGUGUCUCUUCAAAUCGAAAUGGAAUUCAAUUGUCUGAUUCGUUUUCGGAAGCAUUUUUCCGCAUCUGUUUAUCAUCGAAAUUUUUGAGCAGAGUUCAAUUUGAUGAAAAACUUUGGACGCUGGCUAGUUUCAUCGCUCUCCUGGAGGAAGUCAACCUAUAUGAAUCUCCAUGAAUGCAAGUGUAUAAUUGAAAAGUUAGCGAUUCAAUCCAUAUUAAUGCUAUCGCUGUGUUUCAAAAUUUUACACGAGACAUGUUGUCUAAGGAUGGAGCCAGAGUACGCGAUGGCGCGAUGCGACGCUACAGUAGUGCAAUUUGGCAGUUCAUUGUUAAUAAUUGUUAAUCUUUUACGUGAGUCGCGUUGCGUCGCAUCGCACGUCGCGUACUCUGGAGGGCCGUUGCAUAUACUCUGGUUUCACUCUAAUGUACAUAUUUAUAUUGCAAAUAUUGGUCAAUAAAAUGAUUGCUUAAAAAACCA